AUACGUAGGUGGCGAGCGUUGUCCGGAAUUACUGGGUGUAAAGGGCGUGUAGGCGGGAAUGUAAGUCAGAUGUGAAAUACCGAGGCUUAACUUCGGGGGUGCAUCUGAAACUAUGUUUCUUGAGUGCUGGAGAGGGAAGCGGAAUUCCUAGUGUAGCGGUGAAAUGCGUAGAUAUUAGGAGGAACACCAGUGGCGAAGGCGGCUUUCUGGACAGUAACUGACGCUGAGGCGCGAAAGCGUGGGUAGCGAACAGGAUUAGAUACCCUGGUAGUCCACGCCGUAAACGAUGGAUACUAGGUGUAGGAGGUAUCGACCCCUUCUGUGCCGGAGUUAACACAAUAAGUAUCCCACCUGGGGAGUACGGCCGCAAGGUUGAA
rnacentral:rRNA from 1 species